rnacentral:lncRNA from 1 species
GAUUAAACAACAUAGAAAUUGUGAGAACACAAAAAAGAAAGUUGGCAUGUCGUUGUAGUAGUAAAGUGAGAGUAGACAUAUGACAGAGAGGAGACAGAGAAAUAACCACAUAGUGUUGAGUUGAAAAAUUUCAAAAAUAAAAGGAGAGACUAUCGUGCUGAUAACGUGUUAUAAAAUAACCUGGGAUAUGUGCGAUAAUUCAGAGCUGCACGUAAAGUAGAUGAGACACAGCAUUUAACGAGGUUCGGCUAUACCUACGUCCUCGGAGAGCAGCAGCAGUAACUUUUUCACUAAAUAAAAUAAUAGGGCUACAACUUUAGAGUUUACAAUAUGUAAGGCUCACUGAAGUUUCUCUCUGCUCACUCACCCUAUUUCUUCCUUCUCUUCCUCUUCUCUGCUUGACUCUCUUUCCUCUUUUCUUUUUCCUCUUCUCUUUCCUCUUCUCUCUUUCCUCCUUUCUCUUUCUUUCUUUCUGUUUCUCCCUUUCUCUUCUAUCUUCUCUUCCUUUUCACUUUGCAGGUUGCCUAUUUAUAGGCAGAUUGGUGCAACUCUCGUGAGUGUGCAGUAAGAAGAAGUUGCCGACAAACUCUACCAAAAGUCUCUAAAUGAAUAGUUAGUGGGCUCCACACAAAAACUUUACAACAACCUGAAAAGAAGAAAAGAAAAGAAGAAUAGAAAAGAAGAACUUACUUUUUUGAGGGGGAACAAAAGAAAAGGAAACUCACCAAAGAAAUUGUCUUCCCU